GUGCUCACUUUGGCAGCACAUAUACUAAAAUUGGAACAAUACAGACAAGAUUAGUAUGGUCCCUGCACAAGGAUGACACGUAAAUUCCCAAAGCAUUCCAUAUUUAA